rnacentral:rRNA from 1 species
UACGUAGGGGGCAAGCGUUAUCCGGAUUUACUGGGUGUAAAGGGAGCGUAGACGGCAUGGCAAGCCAGAUGUGAAAUACCGGGGCUCAACCCCGGGACUGCAUCUGGAACUGUUAAGCUGGAGUGUCGGAGAGGCAGGCGGAAUUCCUAGUGUAGCGGUGAAAUGCGUAGAUAUUAGGAGGAACACCAGUGGCGAAGGCGGCCUGCUGGACGAUAACUGACGUUGAGGCUCGAAAGCGUGGGGAGCAAACAGG